GAAUGUGGCAGGCAAACAACCCAUGUCUAUGUCCUAAUCAACAAAUUUCGGAUCCAUUUCAGUGGUUUAAGGGUACCUAUCCCAUAAAAGUUUUUGAUUCAUUGGAUUAUAAAAACGCAUUUCCAUGAACUGGGCUCCUUAUCGUCACGCCCACCACACGUAGCCACUCCAGCUGCGAGUUCACUUCAUAAGAGUGAACAAGCGAACCAGUGAGGGAGAGAGGCAGAGACACGCACAGAUACUGUGUGGGUUUUGGUCGCCAUGGACGAAAAACAGUCGAGUAAAACUAGGGGGAAGCCCAUCAAAUGCAGAGCUGCGGUUGUUCGCCAACCAGGAGAGCCAUUGGUGAUCGAGGAGAUCAUGGUGGCGCCGCCGGUGGCUCGUGAGGUUCGGGUUCGAAUCAUAUGCACCUCUCCCAGUCGCACCGAUAUUUCUUUCUGGGAAAUGAAGGAUGAGCCGGCAAAUUUUCCAAGAAGAGAAUUCUUGGUCACGAAGCUAUGGGCAUAUUAAAAGGUGGGACACUUGGUGAUAAGCAGUGGCACUUAUAUUGAUAUGCAGAGACGAGAACAUGUGCUUCACACGUGAGCAACCUUUGGCCUUCUGACUCUUGGUAUAACAACUGCUGGAUCAAAGACACGUGCUGCCAUCUCUUGAGUACAUAUAUAUAUGCCUCUUAGCCUUGUUAGGGUUACGGGAUUUUACACUUUGAGCAAUUUGUUUUCUACCGUUUUGAGUGAGACAAGAGAGCUUUGUACAGAAUGAGAGAUAAGCUAGGGUUUUACUGAGGGAGAAAUGAAAGCUGUGUUAAGGCUUGUAUUUGGCCCAGUAUUAGCUUGAUCUGUGUAUAUACAUUGGCUUUUGAAGAUUGCUCAAUAAAGAAUGAUCUCUGAGGCUGUUCCUGCUGUGGAUGUAGGUCAUUGGGGCCGAACCACGUAA